rnacentral:rRNA from 1 species
GGGGAAUUUUCCGCAAUGGGCGCAAGCCUGACGGAGCAAUACCGCGUGAGGGAGGACGGCUUUUGGGUUGUAAACCUCUUUUAUCAGGGAAGAAUCGAUGACGGUACCUGAUGAAUCAGCAUCGGCUAACUCCGUGCCAGCAGCCGCGGUAAUACGGAGGAUGCAAGCGUUAUCCGGAAUUAUUGGGCGUAAAGCGUCCGUAGGUGGCUUUGUAAGUCUGCUGUCAAAGCGUGCGGCUUAACCGCAUACGGGCAGUGGAAACUAUUGAGCUAGAGUGCGAUAGGGGUAACAGGAAUUCCCAGUGUAGCGGUGAAAUGCGUAGAUAUUGGGAAGAACACCAGCGGCGAAAGCGUGUUACUGGGUCUGCACUGACACUGAGGGACGAAAGCUAGGGGAGCGAAAGGGAUUAAAUACCCCUGUAGUCCUAGCCGUAAACGAUGACAACUAGGCGUGGUUCGUAUCGACCCGAGCCGUGCCGUAGCCAACGCGUUAAGUUGUCCGCCUGGGGAGUACGCACGCAAGUGUGAAACUCAAAGGAAUUGACGGGGGCCCGCACAAGCGGUGGAGUAUGUGGUUUAAUUCGAUGCAACGCGAAGAACCUUACCAAGGCUUGACAUCCUCGGACCCUCCUUGAAAGGGGAGGGUGCCUUCGGGAACCGAGAGACAGGUGGUGCAUGGCUGUCGUCAGCUCGUGUCGUGAGAUGUUGGGUUAAGUCCCGCAACGAGCGCAACCCACGUUUUUAGUUGCCAGCAUUUAGUUGGGCACUCUAGAGAGACUGCCGGUGACAAACCGGAGGAAGGUGUGGAUGACGUCAAGUCAGCAUGCCCCAUACGCCUUGGGCUACACACGUACUACAAUGCACUGGACAAAGAGUCGCAAGUCAGCGAUGACAAGCCAAUCUCGAAAACCAGUGCUCAGUUCAGAUUGCAGGCUGCAACUCGCCUGCAUGAAGGCGGAAUCGCUAGUAAUCGCAGGUCAGCAUACUGCGGUGAAUACGUUCCCGGGCCU